rnacentral:rRNA from 1 species
GCCUAAUACAUGCAAGUAGAACGCACAGGAUGCACCGUAGUUUACUACACCGUAUUCUGUGAGUUGCGAACGGGUGAGUAACGCGUAGGUAACCUGCCUGGUAGCGGGGGAUAACUAUUGGAAACGAUAGCUAAUACCGCAUAAGAACAUUUACUGCAUGGUAGAUGUUUAAAAGGUGCAAAUGCAUCACUACCAGAUGGACCUGCGUUGUAUUAGCUAGUAGGUGAGGUAACGGCUCACCUAGGCGACGAUACAUAGCCGACCUGAGAGGGUGAUCGGCCACACUGGGACUGAGACACGGCCCAGACUCCUACGGGAGGCAGCAGUAGGGAAUCUUCGGCAAUGG